CCCGCAUCGGUGAUGAAACAAUAUUAUUGUUAUCCUUGCACUUUGAUUUACCAUGAAGAAACCCAUGGGGAAUAUUGUUCCUGAGAUGCUU